rnacentral:rRNA from 1 species
UACGAAGGGGGCUAGCGUUGCUCGGAAUCACUGGGCGUAAAGCGCACGUAGGCGGAUUGUUAAGUCAGGGGUGAAAUCCUGGAGCUCAACUCCAGAACUGCCUUUGAUACUGGCGAUCUUGAGUCCGGGAGAGGUGAGUGGAACUGCGAGUGUAGAGGUGAAAUGCGCAGAUAUCAGGAAGAACACCCGUGGCGAAGGCGGCUCUCUGGGACGGUACUGACGCUGAGACGCGAAAGCGUGGGGAGCAAACAGG